GUUUAGGAUUUUUCCUGGUCUUUCAGAGUAACAUUAUUGUGAUUUCUGGUUAAAGUUGCUCAUUUCAAUUCACUAUUCACUAUUAUCCGUGGUUCCUAUUUCCAUGAAAAAUUCAGGAAUGUAUUCUUAGUGAAUAAGGAAGAUUGUACUAUAAAAGGGACCUGUAUAUUCUCUCUACUUCAAGCGGGGAGGCUGAAGGAACAAAGCCCAGAGAUAUAUCAUUAGCAUAUGGGGUAGUUCCCCAAGCUCUGCGGAUCCUCCAGAUGGAGGAGCAUCCCUGCCUGUCUCCUCCUGAUGUUUCACUUUGAUCACUGCAGAAUCCCACCCAAACCUGGCUUCCUAAAACGCAGAAGUUGCUCAUUACCAGUGGGAUUCCCCAGGCAGGAAGGCUGUGAUGCGGGCAUCCCAGUGAGCAAUCAGUAGGAGAGCCUUUAUUAUCACACUAUUUUUCACAGCCUGGAGGAGAAAAAGGACAGGGCGGAGGUGGAGAUAAACCUUUUGCCCAAGGAGAUGCUGACAUAAUGCCAGGCCAUCUGUCUUUUGCCUGAGGACGGCACAGCAGAACAAAAGUGGGAAAAGACUAGUGCUGGGAAAUGGCAUGCGCAGGAGGCAGCAUUAGUCAUGGCCGUGGGCUGGGGCUCAGGAGACACUGGUGUGCAUCAUACAUGAUUCAGAGCCAAUCAGGCUGACCCGUGGGAUGAACGCUCCAAAGCCAUUGCAUUGGCUCUAGGGGACAUUGGUAUGGUACAAGGUCAGAGUUGAUUUGCUGGGAUGGGAGUUGGUAACACUUUAAAAUGCAGCAGUUGGAGGCAAUGAAUGAGGCUUUCUCUUCAAAGUCCUUACAAAGAGGAGAGAAAGUGAAGGAGGGGGGAAGCAUAUGACAAAUUAGCCAAUAUUGAAUGUAGGCUGAAAUCUGCUCUGCUGUCUUACUUGAUCCUUGCAUCUCUGUCAGAGCUGAGAAAAGUAACCUUUUGUGAUUACAGCUCGCAGAAUUCCCCUCGUGGCUGGAAGAUUUGUUCCUUCUCACAGACACUUGCUCCUAACUGGAAAAAGAUUACCAGGGAAUGAAGCUGAAGCACAACUGCAGGAGGAUGGCAUUGUGAAUAUUGCCACUGGAAGAAAAGGAGGUGCUUUCCCCAAGCAAUUAUAUACUGAUGGUAUGUCGCCUUAUUGUUGUUCCAUUUCUGAUAACAGGCUAAAUGGAUGUGAGGUUCAGAGGAAAGGUAUCAUGUUGAGAUGAAAGAGUCAGCCUGGGAGCUGCAAAAGCAUUUAAGUGCAAUUUGAAAAAUAAGAUUUAUUCCACAUGUUAGACCUCUUUUGCAGUUUCUAUUCUUCAUCCCUUCCAUGAUUCUCAUGCAAUUAGAUUCAAAAAAUUACAGAUUGGGUAUACUAAUUUUGCACUUUAGGGGGCUCAACGUAGGCAAACAGUCAUUAAAAGCCCAAACUCGCUGGGCUCAAAGAUUAAUUUGAAUGUGAAUGAAAUGUGUUUGCAUGAAUGUCUGUGAUUUCCAUUGAGAUAUUUCUUCAGAAGUAGUACAUAAUGAAUUAGACAUUAUUUUUCUCUAUACCCAUGUCAUUUUAUUGAAAUCCACAUAUUUGUUUAGUGAUUUCUCUGUGUAUCUUGCUAUUCCAUUCAAAAUUGCAUUCAAGGUAGAUAGCAGCAGUAAAACACAGAAAAGUAGAAAAUGAAAAUAAGGUAAUUAAAAACACAGCGAUAAUAGAGAAAUAAAAAACACUCCCCAAUUAAACAGCCUUUAGCACAUAUAUCAACCUUAAAGCCUGAAUCAUGGUAGAAUACAAACAUAUUUAAUUGAUGAUGAAUGGGUGAUAAAAAAAAACCC
ensembl:lncRNA